rnacentral:rRNA from 1 species
AUUGAACGCUGGCGGCAUGCCUUACACAUGCAAGUCGAACGGCAGCACGGGCUUCGGCCUGGUGGCGAGUGGCGAACGGGUGAGUAGAGCAUCGGAACAUGUCCUGUAGAGGGGGAUAGCCCGGCGAAAGCCGGAUUAAUACCGCAUACGAUCUAAGGAUGAAAGCGGGGGACCUUCGGGCCUCGCGCUAUAGGGUUGGCCGAUGUCUGAUUAGCUAGUUGGUGGGGUAAAGGCCUACCAAGGCGACGAUCAGUAGCUGGUCUGAGAGGACGGCCAGCCACACUGGGACUGAGACACGGCCCAGACUCCUACGGGAGGCAGCAGUGGGGAAUUUUGGACAAUGGGCGCAAGCCUGAUCCAGCAAUGCCGCGUGUGUGAAGAAGGCCUUCGGGUUGU